rnacentral:RNase_P_RNA from 1 species
CGAGGCGGACGGGCGGUCGCCGGACCGCAAGGUUCGGAGGAAAGUCCGGGCUCCGCAGGGCAGGGCGCUGGGUAACACCCAGUCGGGGCAACCCGAAGGAAAGUGCCACAGAAAUGACACCGCCGGGGCGACCCGGUAAGGGUGAAAUGGUGGGGCAAGAGCCCACCGGCGGCCGGGUGACCGGCCGGCCAGGCAAACCCCGCCCGGAGCAAGACCGAAUAGGAGGGCUGUGAGGCUGCCCGCCGAGCCCUCGGGUCAGGUCGCUGGAGGCGCCGGGCGACCGGCGUCGUAGAUAGAUGACCGCCACCCCUCGGGGUACAGAACCCGGCUUACGUUCCGCUCUCGGCCC